rnacentral:rRNA from 1 species
AUUGAACGCUGGCGGCAUGCUUAACACAUACAAGUCGAACGGCAGCACGGUCUAGCUUGCUAGACUGGUGGCGAGUGGCGAACGGGUGAGUAACGCGUAGGAAUAUGCCUUAAAGAGGGGGAUAACCUGGGGAAACUCAGGCUAAUACCGCAUGAGCUCUGAGGAGGGAAGCUGGGGACCUUUUGGCCUGGCGCUUUAAGAAUAGCCUGCGUACGAUUAGCUAGUUGGUAGGGUAAGGGCCUACCAAGGCGACGAUCGUUAGCUGAUCUGAGAGGAUGAUCAGCCACACUGGGACUGAGACACGGCCCAGACUCCUACGGGAGGCAGCAGUGGGGAAUAUUGGACAAUGGGGGGAACCCUGAUCCAGCAAUGCCGCGUGUGUGAAGAAGGCCUGAGGGUUGUAAAGCACUUUCAGUGGGGAGGAGGGUUGAUAGGUUAAGAGCUAAUUGACUGGACGUUACCCACAGAAGAAGCACCGGCUAACUCCGUGCCAGCCGCCGCCGUAA